GUUCCAGAAGUUAUUCCGACAAGACCUUCUUGUUGCCAGCCUAUUCCGCAACUUUCUAUUGGCCGAGAGGAUUAUGAGGUCGUAUAACUGUACGCCGGUGAGCAGCCCCCGGUUGCCCCCUACGUUCAUGCACGCCAUGUGGCAGGCCUGGGACCUCGCAGUGGACAUUUGUCUCUCCCAGUUGCCCACCAUCAUUGAUGAGGGGACGGCGUUCCGGCACAGCCCUUUCUUUGCUGAGCAACUGACGGCGUUCCAGGUCUGGUUGACUAUGGGCGUAGAGAACAGGAACCCCCCGGAGCAGCUGCCCAUUGUUCUACAGGU